CCCAGCCACAAAGCAGACUAACCAAUAUAAUUAGCCAAUUAACAAAAAGAAAAGAAAAGAAAAGAAAAGAAAAAGAAGCCACGUGUUUUUAUUUGGAGAUGAGAGCAUCCAGUUUCACAUCACUACUGAACACAUGUUUGCUGCAGUUUACUAGAGGUCCACUUCAGACCCUCUUUGCCUGGGUAUCACCAGUGGAGGCUGCAGAACAGCCAAGAUUGCUGCCUGCUUCUUCCUCUGGAAGCUUCGUCCCAGAGGGACACCAGGCUGAUGCCAGCUGGAGCUCUCCUGUAUGAGGUGUCUGUCAGUCCCUGCUGGGAGGUCUCUCCCAGUCAGGAGGCUUGGGGGAUCAGGGACCCACUUGAGGAGGCAGUCUGUCCCUUAGCAGAGCUUGAGCACUAUGCUGGGAGAAUACUCCUUGUCAGGAUCAGCUGCUCUCUUCAGAGCCAGCAGGCAGGAAAGUUUAAGUCUGCUGAAGCUGUCCCCACAGCCGCCCCUUCCCCCAGGUGCUCUGUCCCAGGGAGAUGGGAGUUUUAUCUAUAAGCCCCUGACUGGCAUUUCUUUCAGAGAUGCCCUGCUGAGUGACGAGGAAUCCAGAGAGGCAGUCCGGCCACAGCCACUUUGCCACGCUGUGUUGAGUUCUGCCCAGUCCAAACUUCCAGGCCCCCUUAGCACUAUCAGGGGAAAACCACCUACUCAAGCCUCAGUAAUGGUGGACGCCCCUCCUCCUACCAAGCUCUAUCAUUCCAGGUUGACUUCAGACUGCUGAGCUGGCAGUGAGAAUUUCAAGCCAGUGGUUCUUAUCUUGCUGGGCACUGUGGGAGUGGGACCUGCUCGCUGAGUGAGACCACUUGGCUCCCUGGCUUCAGCCCCCUUUCCAGGGGAGUGAACGGUUCUGCCCCACUGGGGUUCCAGGAGCCACUGGGGUACAAGAAAAAAAAAAAAAAACUUCUGCAGCUAACUCAGCGUCUGCCCAAAUAACCGCCCAGUUUUGUGCUUGAAACCCAGAACCCUGGUGGUGUAGGCACACUAGGGAAUCUCCUGACCUGUGGAUUGCAAAAACCCUGGGAAAAGCGUAGUACCCAGGCCAGAUAGCACAGUCCCUCACAGCUUCCCUUUGGGUGGAGGAGGGAGGUCCCUGGCUCCUUACACUUUCCGGUGAGGUGACGCCCCACUUUGCUUCUGUUUGCCCUCUGUGGGCUGCACCCACUGCCUAACCAGUCCCAAUGAGAUGAACUGGGUACCUCAGAUAGAAAUGCAGAAAUCACCUGCCUUCUGCAUUGGUCUUGCUGGGAGCUGCAGACUGGAGCCAUCUUGCCAGAUUGAGUAAUUUCUUUCAACUUAGCUUUCUAAUCAAUUGUUAAAACAUGCAUAAUUAUUUAAAUAUUGGCAUAUGUAAAUUUGGAAGUACGGCAGUAUGGAAUAAACUAUUUUAUCCAACAUUUGAGGGAUAAUGCAUGUAAGACCAGGUGUAAUUCUCAUUUAAUUAAUAUCAGGCUCAUCAGUCUAUGCAGUUCCAUUUUCAAUAUUGACAUGUAUAAACAACAGAUGCAAAGCCUAUACACAUUCAAUAAAUUUUUUAUGACAUUAUUAUGCUCAUUAUGGAAGAGUUGUGUCUGUCUACAUAAACACUUGCACAUGCACAACAGUUAAGGAAAGCGAUUCUAAGCCACCUAAAUACCUAAAAUACACAGACCAAAAGAUUUUUUGUAAGGAACAGGGUUUGAGAUUAAAAGAAAAUAUUAGCUGGGUGUGGUGGCUCACACCUAUAAUCCCAGUGAUAUGGGACGGGGACAGUGCUAGGUAGAGAAAGCCGGGUCCCAGGCUAGGGCUCUACCCCCACGGAACUAGGUGAGGACAAGCACUCCUGCUUUUGCCGCCCAAAAUAUUUCAUUUUCCAAGACCACGCUGGGCGGACACAUCCUCAUCCUGGGCCUUAAAAACCAAAGUCCCUAGCAGACAGACACACAAGUGGCUGGAUGUGGAGAGGCGCACAUUGGCGGAAGAAGACACAAGUGGCUGGUCACAAUAGUGCGCUGCGGAAGAGUAUUCCGACAGGAACCGGCAGGCCAGCAGGCCGGUGACUGGCAGAACUGCAGAGUUUGGCCCGAGUGGUCGGAGAAGAGUCAGGCCGCUGAGCUGCCCAACUCCAGGGGAAAACCAUCGCCCUUCUGGCUCCCCUAUCGGGUGAGAGCUACUCCCACUCAAUAAAACUUUGCACUCAUUCUCUGAGCCCACAUGUGAUCCAAUGCUUCCAGCUCACCAAGGCAAGAACCCAGGAUACAGAAAGUCCUCUGUCCUUGCAACAAGGUAGAGGGUCUAAGUGAGCUGGUUAACACAAGCCGCCUAUAGACGGCGAAACUAAAAGAGCUUCAGGAGCUGUAAAUAUUCACCCCUAGACGCUGCUGUGGAGUUGAAGCCCCACAGCCUGCUCGUCUGUGUGCUGCCCUAGAGGUUUGAGCAGCGAAGCACUGAAGAAGCGAGUCACACCCCCAUCGCACGCCCUGCGAGGGGGACAAAGGGGCCUUUCCCCUUUCACCAGCACUUUGGGAGGCUGAGGUGGGUGGAUCACCCUGAGGUCAGGAGUUGGAAACCAGUCUGGCCAAUAUGGUAGAACCCUGUCUCUACUAAAAACACAAAAAAAUCAGCUGGGCGUGGUGGCAGGUGCCUGUAAUCCCAGCUAC
rnacentral:lncRNA from 10 species